rnacentral:lncRNA from 1 species
CACGUAAUCGUUCUUGUCAGUCCUAUCUUCACUGCUGUGAUAGGAUGGUAUAUUUCCUGUGGGGUUACUUCACAAGGUGCUUAAUAAAUCCGAAUAAAUAUUCAAUCUGCUUUGGUAAUUCCCAAGUAUUUCUUUACUACCUAAUAUAGUUCUGGGAUAUGUUGUAGAUUAUCUCCAUUUUUCGUAUAUACUGCAUGCAAUAGUCCAUAAUUAUACAUGGUCUGUAUGAGUUUUGGGUCUGUUUUGUUUAAUGCUACUAAUUUGUUGUAUCCCUUCAAAGGUUUGGCUUGCCAUCCAAUAAGUUUCUCUGGGUUUUGGGUCUGUUUUGUUUAAUGCUACUAAUUUGUUGUAUCCCUUCAAAGGUUUGGUUUGCCAUCCAAUAAGUUUUUCUGGGUUAUAGACUGGUGAUUGUAUGUUCUUGUUUAGGUAGUUGACAACUUGUAUGAAUUGGUUCUGGUAGUUGUUUAUUUUUUGCACGAAUUGAUUUUGUGUAGGUUUUUUGGUGAUUUCACUGUAAG